rnacentral:rRNA from 1 species
GACGAACGCUGGCGGCGUGCUUAACACAUGCAAGUCGAACGGAAAGGCCCUGCUCUUGUGGGGUGCUCGAGUGGCGAACGGGUGAGUAACACGUGAGUAACCUGCCCUUGUCUUUGGGAUAACUUCAGGAAACUGCGGCUAAUACCGGAUAGAAUCUCCUGCUGCAUGGGGGUGGUUGGAAAGUUUCGGCGGUUCGGGCUGGAUUCGCGGCUUAUCAGCUUGUUGGUGGAGUAGUGGCUGACCAAGGCUUUGACGGGUAGCCGGCCUGAGAGGGUGACCGGCGACAAUGGGACUGAGAGACGGACCAGACGGCUACGGGAGGCAGCAGGGGGGAAUCUUGCACAAUAGGCGGAAGCCUGAUGCAGAAACGCCGCGUGCGGGAUGACGGCCUUCGGGUUGUAAACCGCUUUCGCCUGUGACGAAGCGUGAGUGACGGUAAUGGGUAAAGAAGCCCCGGCUAACUACGUG